rnacentral:rRNA from 1 species
AGGACGACGCUGGCGGUGUGCUUAACACAUGCAAGUGGUGCGACGAACCAGAGCUUGCUCUGGGGCAAAGCCGCGAACGGGUGAGUAACACGUGGGUAAUCUACCCCGAUGACCGGGACAACCCGAGGAAACUCGGGCUAAUACCGGAUGUGGUACGGAGACGUAAGUCUCUUUACUAAAGGUAGCUUCGGCUUCCGCAUUGGGAGGGGCCCGCGGCCCAUUAGCUAGUUGGUGGGGUCAAGGCCUACCAAGGCAACGAUGGGUAGCUGGUCUGAGAGGACGAUCAGCCACACUGGGACUGAGACACGGCCCAGACUCCUACGGGAGGCAGCAGUGGGGAAUCUUGCGCAAUGCGCGAAAGCGUGACGCAGCAACACCGCGUGAGGGAAGACGGCCUUAGGGUUGUAACCUCUUUCAGAUGGGACGAAGGUGAUGCGGUGAAUAGCCGAUGUCAUUGACGGUACCGUCAGAAGAAGCUCCGGCUAACUACGUG